rnacentral:lncRNA from 1 species
CGAAAAUCCAAUGGGCACGAACUGUGCACAACUAAUUGCAGAUCUAUUUCUGUAUUUUUAGAAACCCAAUUCAUGUCUAAAAUAAAAAAAGACCUAUCUAAACAAUAUCUGAAACAACAAUUUAAUAACACGUUUAGAUAUUUGGAUGAUAUUUUCGCUUUCUUCUUCUUCUUUGGAACAGGAACACCUUUAAUAAUAUUAGAG